AUUAAUAAGAUUGCCCCACCUGAAACAAACAGUCUGCCUUAAUUAGCAAAACCCCAUCUGUCUGGAACAGAAUGCACAAGGUCAGGAGUGUUUGGAAAGCUUAAUUCUGGAGUACACCGAACAUCAAGGCUGAACAAGAUAAUUGCAAAGGACAAAAUUACUCCUUCGAGGCAGUGCAGAAGGUUUAAAAGAAUGCAGCAAUAAUGGUCAAGCAUGAUAAAAUAAUAAUCCGGUCAUUAAACCAAUGGAUUCAGGAUGAAGUUGUUGAUGAACAAUAUUCCUCUUCUUGUACUUGAGGAAGAAAAAACACAGGGAAAGCCAAGAGCGAUCAUGGGACUACUCUGUUUAGGCAGGUGGCAUUUCCGUAAAUAAAAGAGAAACCAUUUCCAGGCAGGCACCCAUCAGAAAAUUAAAGAACCAGCAACGGGCAGCCAGGUAGGAUGAGCUUCAGAGAUGAUUGGAAGAUGGAGUCAUAAAUUGCAAGCUGAUGUUGACCGAGUUGUUAUAUUAAUGUGAAAAAAAAUUAAUCAUUACACUAUAACUAGAUGACAUUAAU
rnacentral:lncRNA from 1 species